rnacentral:rRNA from 1 species
GAUUAGAUACCCCACUAUGCUUAGCCCUAAACAUUGGUGGCACACUACACCCGCCACCCGCCAGGGUACUACGAGCAUUAGCUUAAAACCCAAAGGACUUGGCGGUGCUUUAGACCCCCCUAGAGGAGCCUGUCGUAGAACCGAUAAUCCCCGUUAAACCUCACCUCUCCUUGUUUUACCCGCCUAUAUACCGCCGUCGUCAGCUUACCCUGUGAAGGUCUCAUAGUAAGCUUAAUUAGCAUAGCCCAGUACGUCAGGUCGAGGUGUAGCGCAUGGAGAGGGAACAGAUGGGCUACAUUCCCUACAUUAGAGAAUACGAAUUGUUUACUGAAAUGUAUUCAUGAAGGAGGAUUUAGUAGUAAGCCGGAAAUAGAGUGUCCUGCUGAAACCGGCCCUAAAGCGUGCACACACCGCCCGUCAC